UACGGAGGGUGCAAGCGUUAUCCGGAUUCACUGGGUUUAAAGGGUGCGUAGGCGGGCAGGUAAGUCCGUGGUGAAAUCUCUGAGCUUAACUCAGAAACUGCCAUGGAUACUAUUUGUCUUGAAUGUUGUGGAGGUAAGCGGAAUAUGUCAUGUAGCGGUGAAAUGCUUAGAUAUGACAUAGAACACCGAUUGCGAGGGCAGCUUACUACACAAAUAUUGACGCUGAGGCACGAAAGCGUGGGGAUCAAACAGG
rnacentral:rRNA from 1 species